rnacentral:misc_RNA from 1 species
CAUUUCUGCCCAAUUGCAAUCACAUAUAGCAAAAUCUGAACCAGGGUUCCAGACAACAUGAACCCUAUCUCGAUCAAGCUGGUCAGUAACUUUUGCACAUCUACCUUCUAUGAUGACAUCAAGGUCUGGAAUCUUUAAUGCUUUGCUCCAAGCUGUUAAACCACUGUCCCACUCAUCUUUCCAGUAUCUUGCAAAAUCAUCCUUUUCUGAGUACUCAUCAAGCCAGAAGUAGGAAUGCACUUUCGUACCCAACUUAUCAACCAACCAGUCAGCACGUUGAUAAACAAUGGG